GGGUGCGUGGUUUAAUGGUAAAAUAUCCGGCUCCAGCCCGGAAGCUGGGGGUUCGAUUCCCUCCGCGCCCA
rnacentral:tRNA from 1 species